UACGGAGGGUGCGAGCGUUGUUCGGAAUCACUGGGCGUAAAGCGCGUGUAGGCGGCUCGAUAAGUCUGGUGUGAAAGCCCGGGGCUCACCCCCGGAAGUGCACUGGAUACUGUCGAGCUCGAGUCCCGGAGAGGAGAGUGGAAUUCCUGGUGUAGCGGUGAAAUGCGUAGAUAUCAGGAGGAACACCGGUGGCGAAGGCGGCUCUCUGGACGGUGACUGACGCUGAGAUGCGAAAGCGUGGGGAGCAAACAGG
rnacentral:rRNA from 1 species